CUGCACCAAAAAAGCUGUGGUCCAUUCAAGCCUCUGAAGAUGAAGCCAGGUCUGUGGAGCGUGCGGACAGUUCUCAGGGCAGUGAAAUGUCCACUCCUUGCCCUCAAACUGCAAGCACAGCACCUCGGUGUGGAGAUCUGUCGACACCUAGAUCUCGACAUGCAGCAGGAGGUUGUCCCAUGGAUGGCUAUCGCUCUAGGU